rnacentral:antisense_RNA from 1 species
AGGUGAAAGAAAACUAAAGAAAUAGCAGUGCAGAAAGGAAGUUCUUUAUUUUCAGGUUGCUCAAGCUAAAACAAUAAGCAGCAUUUCAUGGACGACUGGCAUGUCACCUUUUACUCCACAAGGCAGACUCAAGAGUUUUCCCAGACCGGAGGAUGAGCCCCUUGGCCAUGCAGCCCUAAGUCAGGCUGAUCCAGCCUUGCCUAGCCCCUCUCUGCAAGAGACUCGUGCGUAUAGGAUGAUUGAGGUGGCCCCAGCCUCCCCAGCAGCUGCUGACUUGCGCUUGGAAAUUCAAUCAUCUCAAGGCAAGAAUUUCUGACAUGACAUGGGAAAAGCUGAAGAAGUCAGUCUUUGGGGUGUGUUUUCAUCUAGGAGGUGGCUUGAGAUGGAUUCAUGGCAAAUCACAAUAAAUUAUUUAUCAGA